GGAGGGAGGGAGAGAGGGAGGGAGGGAGUGAAAAACAGUGAGAGUGAAAGAGAAAGAGUGAAAGGGAGUGAAAGAAAAAGAGAACAAAUCAUUUACUAAAGACUGGAAUGCUGUCACUGUUUAGACCUGGAGAGGGGGAGAAAGAGAGAGAAAGAGAGAGAGAGAGAAAGAGAGAAAAAAGAGAGAGAAAGAGAGGGAGAGAGAAAGAAAGAAAGAAAGAGAGAGAAAAAAGCAUAAUGUUACACAAUAAUAGAAAGUAAAAACAGGUGAGACUUUUCACUAAUCAUUUGUCCGCCUUUCGUUCCAGUACUCUGCUGCCUGUGACUGGAACGAAUUGCAAAAAUCGCUGAAGUUGGAGACUUUUAUCUCCCUCUCCAACUUCAAACAUCAGCUAUCCGAGCAGCUAACCGAUCGCUGCAGCUGUACAUAGUCUAUAGAGAAUUUAGCAGUACGUCCAACCGGCCUCACAACCGCAGACCACCUGUAACCACGCCAGCCCAGGACCUCCACCUCCGGCUCCUUCACCUGCAGGAUCAUCUGAGACCAACCAACCAGACAGCUGAUGAAACUGAAGAGUAUUUCUGUCUGUUAUAAAGCCCUUUUGUGGGGAAAAACUCAUUUGGAUAAACUGGUCCUGGCUCCCAAGUGGGGGGGGGGGGCUAUGCCCUCCCAGGCUCACCCAUUGCUGCACCCCUGCCCAGUCAAGUGAAAUCCAUAGAUUAGGAUUUGUUUUUUUUUUUUUCAGUUGACUGAUUUACUUAUAUGAACUGUAACUCAGUAAAAUAGUUGAAAUUGUU